GAUGAACGCUGGCGGCGUGCUUAACACAUGCAAGUCGAACGGAAAGACCCUGCGUUUGCGGGGCUGUCGAGUGGCGAGGGGGGGAGUAACACGCGAGGAACCUGCCCUUGACUGUGGGAGAUCUUUAGGAAACGGGGGCUAAUACAGGAGAGGAGCUCCUGCUGCGUGGGGGGGGUUGGAAAGUGUCGGCGGUUGGGGCUGGACUCGCGGCUUAUCAGCUGGUUGGUGGGGUAGUGGCUUACCAGGGGUUUGACGGGUAGCCGGCCUGAGAGGGUGGCCGGCCACCUUGGUCCUGCGGUACGGCCCAGACUCCUACGGGAGGCAGCGGUGGGGAAUAUUGCACAAUGGGCCGAAGCCUGAUGCAGCAACGCCGCGUGCGGGAUGCCGUCCUUCGGGUUAUAAACCGCUUUCGCCUGUGACGAAGCGUGCGUGACGGUAAUGGGUAAAGAAGCACCGGCUAACUACGUG
rnacentral:rRNA from 1 species